rnacentral:rRNA from 1 species
AUGAACGCUGGCGGCGUGCCUAAUACAUGCAAGUCGCGCGAACGGACGAGAAGCUUGCUUUUCUGAUGUUAGCGGCGGACGGGUGAGUAACACGUGGAUAACCUACCUAUAAGACUGGGAUAACUUCGGGAAACCGGAGCUAAUACCGGAUAAUAUUUUGAACCGCAUGGUUCAAAAGUGAAAGACGGUCUUGCUGUCACUUAUAGAUGGAUCCGCGCUGCAUUAGCUAGUUGGUAAGGUAACGGCUUACCAAGGCAACGAUGCAUAGCCGACCUGAGAGGGUGAUCGGCCACACUGGAACUGAGACACGGUCCAGACUCCUACGGGAGGCAGCAGUAGGGAAUCUUCCGCAAUGGGCGAAAGCCUGACGGAGCAACGCCGCGUGAGUGAUGAAGGUCUUCGGAUCGUAAAACUCUGUUAUUAGGGAAGAACAUAUGUGUAAGUAACUGUGCACAUCUUGAUGGUACCUAAUCAGAAAGCCACGGCUAACUACGUG